AAACGGAAAAUAAAAACAGCAGACCUAUGAAGGUCGAAGGGGAAGAAAAGCUGUAUCGAUUGUUGAGAUCUGGCGACUUGUUUAAAUUUCAUCAGCCUCACUUCUAUGAACUCUCAGAGCUGAUUACCAACUCCUACCACUGUUAACCCUCAUCCAGGAACAAGCUUAUGUCUUUAACAUUCUGAGUGGGCUUCAGCAUCCUUGCAUAUGUUCAAUUCUUAAAAACCUGUUGAAAUAAAAGAUCAGGAGACAUAGGAAGGAUGCCAGAAGAGAGCGUGGCCUCACGUGUACCAGCUCUCUGCUCUCCUUUGCCUUGGGACGUUCCAUCCCUGGAAGUUUCCCUGCCCACAUCUUUGUAGAGAGUCCAUUCUCCAAGCUUCAGUGUGUCAUCUGUGAGGACCGUGACCCACCUGGUACAUCGCCUCAGGGCAUUCAUUUCAGGCUCCUUCUAAAUGGCCAAGGUACAGUUGACUAAAUACCGUACUUCAUUUCUGGUAUGUUUGGAGAGACAUCUGUUUUUUGCAUUUGGUCUUUCACUCUUUGUUUUUCUCCGGGAGGAUUAUACUUUGUUUGUUCCUCUCAAACUUUACCCAACUGAGAGUGCUAUAGAGUGCUGUGAUUUAAAUAUCAACAGAUUUCUAGGGACAUAUGCACUCUCAGAAAUAUGUGCGUUCUCAGACCUGAGUACCCUGGUGUGGGCUUCGUGGUAUUUUAGGAAGCAUGAAUUGAGAUCUGAGGGCACUAGGUUUAUCUUGAAAGCAGAUGUAGGUAAAUUGUCUCGGCUCUGCUGUGAUCUCUAAGAUUAUGAAGGUAUCUGGAACUCAGGGGAAAAAACAUCUAUUUUAUCACAUCAUUGAAAGUAGUUUCUUACCAUUUAUUAAACAUUGGCUUAAAAUAAUGAUUUUGCCAUUUUUUUCCUGUCACAUUGCAAAUGCUUAUCUAUUGCUUUGACUAAGUUUGCAUGCCUGCAUUUCACCCUUGAAAAAGUAAAGUGUUCAGUUUUUUCUUUUUGUAGAUAGUAUUUAGAUCACCUUUAUCAAUCUUAAAAUAAGAAACCUAAUAAAAAUAACUCCAAAUUGCAAGGCAUCUCUUUAAUACAUAGAUACUUUGUAUCUUCAUUUUAGUUGAAAAGUUAAAAUUAUCUGUAGAGAAAGCAUAAGACUAGAUGAUACCUUUUAAUCUAUUGUGAGAGAUAUGUAACAUGUCAGCAGAUGACAAAAGUAGGAACUGUUUUAUAAACCUCCAAUCAUCAAAUAAGUGACAUGUUUGAGUCAAUCAAUUUAAGAGGUUCCCAGUCCACUGAUGAAACCAUUUGAAGAAAAUGUGCUGUUUGAUGUUACAGAAGCCAAAAGCUGUAUAAAUGUGUCAUCUGUUUUUCAUUUUAAUUCACUGUUUCAGAAGUAUUUACUGUGUAUUAAAAAAUCUUUUUACCCUUUCAAAUCUUUUGGACAACCUGGAAAAAUUGAGAACAGUUUAAGAUCUAUCCAUAAAAGCACAUUCUCAGC
rnacentral:lncRNA from 1 species